GGGUGUCAGUGCGGGUAAGUUGUAUGGAAAUACACGCCGUGGAGGGUGAGAGCCCCGUCCAACCUGCACAGGACACUCCGUACGAGAAUGAUUCAGUUGAGUCGGGUAGCUUGGGAAUGCUGCUCUAAUUGGUGGUAAAUCUCAUCAAAGGCUAAAUAUUGACCGGAAACCGAUAGCGAACAAGUACCGUGAGGGAAAGAUGACAAGCACUUUGAAAAGAGGGUGAAAAGAGCCUGAAACCGUCAUGGGGGAAGCGGAUUGCGUUGGAGAUUGGGUUGCUGUGUGUUCAGCCUUUGAAUUUUAAACGAUUUGGGGUGCAUUGGCGCAGUAAUCGAGGCACCGUGGGUUUCAGCUGGUGGAAGUUGCACUGGUUGGGGCUGAGGGAUCCCUUUUAUAGGUGAGGACGGUGUGUGAACGACGCAAUACGACCCGUCUUGAAACACGGACCAAGGAGUCUAGCGCGGUUGCGAGUCAGAGGGUGCAAGCCCGAGGGCGUAGUGAAAGCGAGUGUGAAAACGAGCAGUUUGGGGCGGCAUGAGAUUGUUAAUUUCAAGUCCGACCUUGAGCAGUUGCGCUGGGACCCGAAAGAUGGUGAACUAUGCCGGAAUAGGGCAAAGCCAGAGGAAACUCUGGUGGAGGCUCGUAGCGGUGCUGACGUGCAAAUCGCUCGUCUGAUUUUGGUAUAGGGGCGAAAGACUAAUCGAACCAUCUAGUAG
rnacentral:rRNA from 1 species